AUCUAAGCCAGGACUCAGGACAAACCUGUGACCAAGAAGAUGAAGUAGGAGUUGGAGGUGGUGAUGGUGGGGGAAGGGGAGUCAUUCUGGUGGUGCUCCUUUAAGCUAGAGGUUUGCUUGGGUGGAACAGUAUCCAGCACAAAGGAAGAGGUAUAAUGGGCACUGCCACUGGUCAGAUUGGGAAACUUGUCAGGACAGAGGACUUCUUGGAGUCCCUUACAUCACCCUGCUGGAUCUCAAAGAAGAAUGAAAGCCUUUGACUCUGGGCUGUUUUGAUUCCCCACUCCACCACUGCCUGCCUGAACAUCAUGGGGACACGAGGACAUCCUCUGGGCACUGAGGAAGGAAAACUGAAAGAGGCUGGGGACCAACCGAGAAAACCAAAGCCCGUGAAGAGGAAGUGCUGGCCGCUGCUCUGUCUGACCCGCUAACAUGGCCUUUGGUCAGGCCUGUAUCAGCUUCUCCAGGCCAAUGCAGCUGCUCACUCGAAUGCUUCAGCCACACUUCCGGUGCCCGGCUUGUGGGGACUAUAGAGACAGAGGCUGCCAGCACCAGUAAACAGAUGCUCUGGCCAUGGCUACUCAGAUGAGCUUGGUGUCAGCAGCAGAAGGAAGGAGGUCUUGCUGACACAGCGACCCUGAGAGCUGUGGCCAUGGUGUUUCCAGGGUAGCAACACCAUACCUUCCUUCUGCUCCCUUCUAGGAAAGCCUGGGUUGUCUGGGUUCCAGGGAGGGGGCGGGCAUAUUUAAACAGGGUGGCCCUGGGGUUUGAGACCUCCCCCCUCCCCAUUGCCCGCCCACCACAGGCACAGGCACAGGUGAAAAGCAGGAGAGAAAGAGAUUCUGGGGGCAGCUUAGCAAUGUGUAAUGAAAUUCGAACUGUGACAGGAGUCGGUCGCUUCUGGGAAUUGACACCAAGGAAAUAAUAGUGAGUUCAUACAAGGUGUGUGCACCAGGACGCCGAAUCUCUGCCUCCUGCAGGGCUGAUACUGCUCUUAGAGACUGGAGCAGUCACACAAUGGAGAACUUGUAUGCUGUUCACACAGUGUGGAAUUAUCAAUAAAGCUGCCAAGAGCACAUGUCCUUUAG
ensembl:lncRNA